rnacentral:rRNA from 1 species
UACGUAGGGGGCAAGCGUUGUUCGGAAUUACUGGGCGUAAAGCGCGGGCAGGUGGCCUUUUAAGUCCUUUGUGAAAUUCCGGAGCUCAACUCCGGAUGUGCAUAGGAUACUGGAAGGCUAGAGACUGGUAGAGGCGAGUGGAAUUCCUGGUGUAGCGGUGGAAUGCGUAGAUAUCAGGAAGAACACCCGUGGCGAAAGCGGCUCUCUGGAACGGUACUGACGCUGAGACGCGAAAGCGUGGGGAGCAAACAGG